ensembl:lincRNA
CCUUUACCUAGACGCUGCGGGAUGCUGAGGUGGGACCAGCGGGGGAACGCCUGGAAAACUAAUACAACCUCUCCAAAGGCCCUGAGCAACCGCGGCCACCCCAGUCUGAGAGAACAGUGCGCCCCCUCUAAGGUGGGGGAACCCCCGACCUAAUCGCGGGAGCUGUGUGACUCGGAGGUUGAGGGGUAAAGUGCGGGGGUGUCAACCUCAGAGCAUCCAGCUGCGUUACCACGCCGCCCCCUGCCGGUGCCCUGCGGAGCUGGCUGUGUCCCCAAAUGGAGAAACCCGACCAGACCUGUGGCAGAGGCCAGCCUCCUCUAGCACAGCGCAUGAACACUGUGGGGGCUGGAUGAAGGGAACCUGGAACAAUUACACUAAUUGUGCUGAUUAUGCCAGAAGUUCUUCCUGUUUUGACAUCUGGAUGAAAUGCUUGCCGUUUUAAUGUCGAAAGUCCUAUGGACCAGA